rnacentral:misc_RNA from 1 species
ACACACACACUAUGUUUAGUUCCAUCUCAAACCAUGUACAAUCAAUCAGCUUCAGUUCCAUCUCAAACCAUGUACAAUCAAUCAGCUUCAGAUUAUAAUAGCUUUGAAACAAUGAUAAUGAAAGUUUUUUCAUCGUUCUAAAUUUAUACUACAGUUAUGGUCGUAAAAGAUUAAGAAAAAUCUUAUGGGUGCAAUUAUUCCACUGACACCUGCGAAAAUUACCAAAAGAACUGACCAUCGCUGUUUAUUGUAUUUUUUUAAAUGUUUUAGUUAAACAAUCUAACACUUAA